rnacentral:misc_RNA from 1 species
GAAAUGCGAUAAGUAAUGUGAAUUGCAGAAUUCAGUGAAUCAUCGAAUCUUUGAACGCAUCUUGCGCUCCUUGGUAUUCCUUGGAGCAUGCCUGUUUGAGUAUCAUGAAAUCUUCAAAGUAAAUCUUUUGUUAACUCAAUUGGUUUCUACUUUGGUAUUGGAGGUCUUUGCAGCUUCACACCUGCUCCUCUUUGUUCAUUAGCUGGAUCUCAGUGUUAUGCUUGGUUCCACUCGGCGUGAUAAGUUAUCUAUCGCUGAGGACACUGUAAAAGGUGGCCAAGGUAAAUGCAGAUGAACCGCUUCUAAUAGUCCAUUGACUUGGACAAUACUUUUAUGAUCUGAUCUCAAAUCAGGUAGGACUACCCGCUGAACUUAAGA